GCGCCCGUAGCUCAGGGGACAGAGCGGCUGCCUUCUAAGCAGCGGGUCGGGGGUUCGAAUCCCUCCGGGCGCGCCA
rnacentral:tRNA from 1 species